rnacentral:piRNA from 1 species
UAAGACUGGCUGAUGACGUU